rnacentral:rRNA from 1 species
GCUUGCAAAACAAAACGCACGUGUAAGCACCGGAUCCCAUGAGAACUCCGAAGUUAAGCGUGCUUGGGCGAGAGUAGUACUAGGAUGGGUGACCUCCUAGGAAGUCCUCGUGUUGCAUUCC